AACGCGAAGAACCUUACCCGGCCUUGACAUCUAUGGAAUUCUUCAGAGAUGAGGAAGUGCCUUCGGGAACCAUAAGACAGGUGCUGCAUGGCUGUCGUCAGCUCGUGUCGUGAGAUGUUGGGUUAAGUCCCGCAACGAGCGCAACCCUUGUCCUUAGUUGCCAUCAUUAAGUUGGGAACUCUAAGGAGACCGCCGGUGACAAACCGGAGGAAGGUGGGGAUGACGUCAAGUCAUCAUGGCCUUUAUGGCCGGGGCUACACACGUGCUACAAUGGCAGGUACAGAGGGAAGCCAACUCGCGAGAGGGAGCCAAUCCCAGAAAGCCUGUCGUAGUCCGGAUCGGAGUCUGCAACUCGACUCUGUGAAGUCGGAAUCGCUAGUAAUCGCAGAUCAGCAUUGCUGCGGUGAAUACGUUCCCGGGCCUUGUA
rnacentral:rRNA from 1 species